AUGUAUGCUCAGCCAUAUAACAUAAACACGAUGUCAUGAACUACCGCCGUGUUCAUGCUGAACCGUGCUUGCCUUGCCUUAACCGUUAACUAAAUUAAGAAGUUGGUCGUUUGGGUCAUUCGUUCGGUAUCAUAAGGAUAUCCCGUUCUUCUCACCUGCCUGCCUGCCCGGCCGGCAGUGCCUGGUAAAGAUUGCAGCGACCAAUCAAUGCUCUGUAAUGCGGCCACACUCAGAACGCGAGUAUAUCGUACGGGACAGAUGACCUGCUGUCACGACAUUUUAGAGUCACGUUCAUUUUACCGUCUUUUAUAAUUGUCUGCUGUGUACAAAAGCCAAUCAAGUCCUCAGAUUUGGGAGAAGCACGUCGUGUGUACGGCCCCCCAGGUAUUUGACGUUCUCAUCUACAGCUUACUUCUCCGGACUCAAGGUGGCCUUGCUGAGGGCGCCCUUAGGCGGAUAGCGCCUGAAAAAGAUGUUGGGUUUCAAGUCAUUGGACGUCCGGGGUGGGUGGGGUGAAAAAGUGGAACAAAGCCCUGCUCACCAAGCCAAAGCCACAAGGACAGUUUACCAGAGCCCCCGCUGAUUCGACGCUAGGAUUUCAGGUCCACUGCUGGCUCCAGGGGGGAGAUGCAAUCUCCACCGUAGCCUCCAGGAAGCAGCACCAGCGAGCUUUGGAAGCUGUAGGGGAAGGGGCACGGCGGUCGC
rnacentral:lncRNA from 1 species